GAUCCCACAUGGUUGGUGAACUUUUAAGAUGAGGAGAGAGACAAAGAGGAGAGGACCAGGUGAAGAUAGAUACAUGGGAGAAGAUGGCACGUGAAGACGGAGGCAGAGAUUGGAGCCGUGUGUCUACCAGUCAAGGAAGGCCAAGAGAACAGGACUGUCCAGGAGAUCAGAGAAUUCUAUUUUCCGUGGGAUGAGAAGACUUCAGAGUCCUGCCCAUGUCUUCUAAUCUUCGGCUCCCAAAUCCUGGGUUCUUCCUCGGGCACCCUGACGGUGAAGAAAGGGCCUUAGGUACCUCAGUAGCUUUUGUACUGACAUCACUGUAUGACCACGUGGUACGAAACAAAUGGGACCACAGAACAUGAGAAUUAAGAUCAACGCUUGGUGUCGUCAGGCUACCUCUGAGAGCCAGAGAGGUGAAGAAACUUGCUCAAGUUUGCACAGCUAGCCAGGCAAGCCAGGUGCUCCCAUCCCACCUGCCUCCCUUGAGGCUCUAGGAUUUUACUGCCCAAGAAAGAGAUGCAAUCAGUGUCACGAAUACCUGUCUGCCUACAGAGAAGCAAAAAUUCAGCUUGUGUGUCUGAGACCUGAGACAGAGCUGAAGGCAUGGGGUCACCACUGCCCAGCCAGCCAUGCAUCUGGCUCCCAGGCUGGAUCUGGUGAGAGGAGACUCAUGAGGCUUCUCCAGGCAACAACUGAACAAAGACAUCCACCCCUCAUUCCACUCGAACUGUUUUCACCUGGUGAGGAGCUGCAGAUAGGCUUCAGAACACUGGGACAGGUGUUAAUAAAAUAGUCACCCGUCCCCUGCGAACUGAAGAAAAAGAAACAAUGAAUUUUCCGGUUUACUAGAUUUAUCCGUUUGAAAGCACUGUCCUUUUAUUCUGAGAUUAUUUCUGAAAUGAAGAAGAGAAACGCAGUGAAUUUUUCCAUCCUGCUGCUGCUGCUGCUGCUAAGUCACGUCAGUCGUGUCUGACUCUGUGUGACCCCAUAGACGGUACCCAACAGGCUCCUCUGUCCCUGGGAUUCUCCAGGCAAGUUCCAUCC
ensembl:lncRNA